rnacentral:misc_RNA from 1 species
GAUGAAGAACGCAGCGAAAUGCGAUAAGUAAUGUGAAUUGCAGAAUUCAGUGAAUCAUCGAAUCUUUGAACGCACAUUGCGCCCCCUAGUAUUCCGGGGGGCAUGCCUGUUCGAGCGUCAUUUCACCACUCAAGCCUCGCUUGGUAUUGGGCAACGCGGUCCGCCGCGUGCCUCAAAUCGACCGGCUGGGUCUUCUGUCCCCUAAGCGUUGUGGAAACUAUUCGCUAAAGGGUGUUCGGGAGGCUACGCCGUAAAACAACCCCAUUUCUAAGGUUGACCUCGGAUCAGGUAGGGAUACCCGCUGAACUUAAGCAUAUCAAUAAGCGGAGGA